rnacentral:snRNA from 1 species
ACCUUUGCGCAGAGGUGGUGUCGUACCCAAUGUAGUUUAAGCUGAGGGACGACUAUCGGUAGUUGAAAACCUUAUGAUACCUGUUAAAAGUUAAUCCCCUGGCUCCUGUUAAAAUCAUCUGCUUAUCAUUUUUAUGC